CAGUCGCCACGGGAAUACGAAGGGUGCAAGCGUUAAUCGGAAUUACUGGGCGUAAAGCGUGCGUAGGCGGUUACUCAAGUCAGAGGUGAAAGCCCGGGGCUCAACCCCGGAACUGCCUUUGAAACUAGGUGACUAGAAUCUUGGAGAGGUCAGUGGAAUUCCGAGUGUAGAGGUGAAAUUCGUAGAUAUUCGGAAGAACACCAGUGGCGAAGGCGACUGACUGGACAAGUAUUGACGCUGAGGUGCGAAAGCGUGGGGAGCAAACAGGAUUAGAUACCCCCGUAGUCCCUGUCUCUUAUAC
rnacentral:rRNA from 1 species